CGCGAAUGGCUCAUUACAACAGCCUUGGUUUAUUGGAUCUGACUAUCCACUUGGAUAACUGUGGUAAUUCUAGAGCUAAUACACGCUUUCAAGCUCCAACCUAUCAGAAGGAGUGCAUUUAUUAGAACAAAACCAAUCGGCUUCGGCCGUUACUUGGUGAAUCUGAAUAACUCUGCUGAUCGCACAGUCUUUGUACUGGCGACAAAUCUUUCAAGUGUCUGCCUUAUCAACUUUCGAUGGUAGUUUAUACGACUACCAUGGUUCUCACGGGUAACGGAGAAUUAGGGUUCGACUCCGGAGAGGGAGCCUGAGAAAUGGCUACCACAUCCAAGGAAGGCAGCAGGC
rnacentral:rRNA from 1 species